UGGUUAAAAAGAUGAGAAGAAAGGCUUCUCUGUGACAUCACAAGGUAGGUUUAAAGGCUUCUCUGUGACAUCACAGGGUAGGUUUAAAGGCUUCUCUGUGACAUCACAAGGUAGGUUUAAAGGCUUCUCUGUGACAUCACAAGGUAGGUUUAAAGGCUUCUCUGUGACAUCACAAGGUAGGUUUAUUCAUGGUGCUGUAGAUAAUGAGCAUGAGGUUGAAGAGGUUACCUUUGCCACCUGCUGACUAUGGCUGAGGUAGUGAACAGGACGGCACAACCACCAUGGAGACAUACACUGAAGAGAAUUAUAGAGUGAAGAGAAAUAGGUCACAGUCAAAUAUAUUUGUCUCUGUGUUUUAUUGCAAGUGACACUUGGUUCUUCCGGAGAGCUGAGCUGUGCCGUAGAGCUGGAGAAUGCAUCUGAAUAAUCAGGACUCAUUGGAGUGGAAGACUCAGAUGUCGUCCUUGGUUAGAUUCCCAGGGAGCCAGGCAAUGUUACAGAGUGGAAUAGAAUGGGACUGGGGUGCCUGAGGAAAGGGGUGUGUGUGUGUGUGUGUGUGUGUGUGUGUGUGUGUGUGUGUGUGUGUGUGUGUGUGUGUGUGUGUGUGUGUGUGUGUGUGUGUGUGUGUGUGUGUGUGUGUGUUGGUUCUUCUAUAAUUCCUCACAAGGAUAGUAAAACAAGGAAAAUUCUCCCUCGGGGUGAAAUGUCCCACGUCCUCAUGAGGACAAACACUAUUUUAAGCUUAGGAGUUAGGUUUAGAAUUAGGUUUAGGUUUAGAAUUAGGUUUAGGGUUAGAAUUAGGUUUAGGGUUAGAAUUAGGUUUAGGAUUAGAAUUAGGGUUAGGGUUAGAAUUAGGUUUAGGAUUAGAAUUAGGGUUAGGGUUAGAAUUAGGUUUAGGGUUAGAAUUAGGGUUAGGGUUAGAAUUAGGUUCAGGAUUAGAAUUAGGGUUAGGGUUAGAAUUAGGUUUAGGGUUAGAAUUAGGGUUAGGGUUAGAAUUAGGUUUAGGAUUAGAAUUAGGGUUAGGGUUAGAAUUAGGUUUAGGGUUAGAAUUAGGUUUUGGGUUAGAGUUAGAAUUAGGUUUAGGGUUAGAAUUAGGUUAGGUUUAGGGUUAGAAUUAGGGUUAGGGGUUAAGGUUAGGGGUUACGAUUUUGAAUGGCAUCGACAGGCAGUAUGUUGGCCACUGUGAUAACAGUUGACCAGGCAGCGGACAGUAUGUUGUUCACUGUGAUAACAGUUGACCAGGCAGGGGACAGUAUGUUGUUCACUGUGGAUGUCUGUAGUGACGACGGUUGGUUAGCGUUUACCUGACCCUGUGAUCGUUCCUGUUCUGCUCUGAUGAGCUGUCCUCCAAACUGAGGCUCCUCCUCCACUCCACCUUCACCUUGGACUUCUUCUGGUCUGUGGUUCCUCGUCUUCGUUGUCCUGCAGAACAGACUCCACAGAGUCAGAAGAGAGCUGGCUCUGCAGUCCUUUCAGCUAUGGGUCUAACAACCCAGGUGGUGGAGGAGCAGGGUUGGGAAGUAAUUUAUUACAUGUAAUCUGAUUAGAAAAAACGAACUGUAAUCAGUUAUGUUACCAGAUAAAAUAUUGUCAUCAGAUUACAGAGACUUUAGAAAUACUAGAUAAUUACUUACUGAAAUGGUUUUAAAUUCAGAAAGGAUGUUUUCUCAAAUCAGCAUUGACAUUUGGCUCAAGUUUAAGUUUGUUCCACCUGAGCGGGUCAAACCACCAGUCAGAGACCACUAUGAUGAAACCAAAUGAUGACCACCAAUCAGAGACCACCGUGAUGACACACCAAAUGAUGAGCACCAAUCAGAGACACCGUGAUGACACAGAAAAUGAUGACCACCCAUCAGAGACCACCGUGAUGACACACCAAAUGACGACCACCCAUCAGAGACCACCGUGAUGACACACCAAAUGAUGACCACCAAUCAGAGACCAUAACGAUGACACCAAAUGAUGACCACCAAUCAGAGACCACCGUGAUGACACACCAAAUGAUGACCACCAAUCAGAGACCACUGUGAUGACACACCAAAUGAUGACCAUUGCCUUUAAAGUAAUCCAAAUGUAACCGAAAGUAAUCUGAUUACUUAACCAAGUUUGUGUAAUCCAAAAAGUAACUUCUCUGAUUACAAUUUUGGACAUUAUUACAUUUAUAAAGCAACCUACCAAACCAUGUGGAGGAGGGAGGCUCAUCGUGGGCUUUGGAGGACUGGUCUUUCGAGGCAGGUUCCUCGUCUUCGCUGGUCAUGGGCUUUGGAGGACUGGUCUUUGGGGGCAGGUUCCUCGUUUUCGCUGGUCAUGGGCUUUGGAGGACUGGUCUUUGGGGUCAGGUUCCUCGAGUCAGAAGCGAGCUGGACCAGCUCUGGAGUCCUUUCAGCCAUGGGGUUUAACAAAGCACUCCAUGAUGCAAUCCUCGUCCCCUGAGGAGGAAGUGGCACACGUUUUUUUGUGGCUAUACAAAUGAACCCUUUGAUCUCUACAGUACAUUCAUGGGCUUUGGUCCACCACACUCCUUUAAUUGUAACUCUACAAAGUAUGACACAUUCCUUUCAGAUGACUGAAGAACUGCUUGUAGCCUGUUUUCUUUCUGUUGUUGGUGAUUCACAAAUGUGAUUAAAUGACUGAAAUGUAUUUUUUUGCAUCAAUCUAUGAAUCCAUAUGAAUAAUGUAGGCCUAGAUAGUCUGCCUUGGAAUCCACUAUUGAUCUCAUGUCUUAUCCUAUAGAUUUGUCAUAUCUCAUGUUUAAUCCUAUAGAUGUUUUAAAUCUAUCUGGUGGUGUGUAGAUAUUUCACACAUACACUAUGGGACGGUUUCCCAGACACAGAAUAGGCCUGGUUUAGGACUUUAAAAACAUUUUAAUACAGAAUCUCCACUGAGAAUGCUUUUCAGUCUUGGAAAGUGGCCUGAAAUCCAGGAAACUGACCCUCUUUUUUUAAUGAUUGUAUCACAUCAACUACGUUCUGUUCCCUUUGCUCUUCCUUCUCUUGCUGCUAGCUGUGCUCCUCUGUCUGGGUAUCAUAUUACCAGGUUGGGAUAUACUGCCAUCUGCUGUUUGUUUACUGUAAAUACAUUUAUGGAGGAUAUUGUCUCAGUAAAUGCCCCUUAUGGCCACCCUAGUACUAUCCCUAGGGGCACUAAUCCUUCUGGGUUCAAAUGUUUUUAAGUGUCUGGAAUAUUUAACAGCAUCUUGUGCUUCCCAAAUGGCACCCUAUCAUCUAUAUAGUGCACUACUGUUGACCAGGACCUGUAAUGCUUUGGUCAAAAGUAGGGCACAAUGUAGGGAAUAGGGUGCCAUUUAGGACACCUACCUCAGAGACACUCCAAGGAUCUCCUCUGACCACCACCUCCCUCAGAGACACUCCAAGGAUCUGCUCUGACCACCACCUCCCUCAGAGACACUCCAAGGAUCUCCUCUGACCACCACCUCCCUCAGAGACACUCCAAGG
ensembl:lncRNA